UGUAUGUGGUCCAUUGUGCUAAAGCCUGA
rnacentral:sRNA from 1 species